UACGUAGGGGGCAAGCGUUGUCCGGAUUUAUUGGGCGUAAAGAGCGUGUAGGCGGCCAUGCAGGUCCGUUGUGAAAACUGGAGGCUUAACCUCCAGACGUCGAUGGAAACCGUAUGGCUAGAGUCCGGAAGAGGAGAGUGGAAUUCCUGGUGUAGCGGUGAAAUGCGCAGAUAUCAGGAGGAACACCGAUUGCGAAGGCAGCUCGCUGGAACGUUACUGACGCUGAGACGCGAAAGCGUGGGGAGCAAACAGG
rnacentral:rRNA from 1 species